CCUGAGAAACCCAAAAGAUCGAAUGGGGAGAUUCAUCGUCAGCGGUCUUGGUACGUGUGCGGCUCGCGAUGCCGGAGACUUCGGUCUCCAGGCACGCGUCCGUAUGUUUUUUAUUGCCUCGAUCGUCGGCGUGCACUUCUCCCCUAGUAGGACGUCGCGACCCGUUGGGUGUCGGUCUACGGCCCGGGCGGUAGCCUGUUUCGUGUUCGCUUCGCGGCGUUACGCGGUUCAGACCCCCGGUUGCCCGACCGGCUGCUCGGCGGUACACGCACGGUAUCUGGCCGCAAAUAUUCGAACUGCGUCCGGCCCGUCGCAAGCGAGGCAAGUGUUUCCCGGUUGUACGGAUCUAAUGCCGUCACCGGGCCUUGCCAGCUGUUGGUUGACGGUGUCCUAGGACUGGCUAAUACAAUUAUGAUACCGGUCGGCGACGCUACUGCUUUGGGUACUUUCAGGACCCGUCUUGAAACACGGACCAAGGAGUCUAACAUGUGCGCGAGUCAUUGGGAACUAUUAAGCCUAAAGGCGCAAUGAAAGUGAAGGUCGGCCUUGCGCCGACCGAGGGAGGAUGGGCCGCGUCACGAUGCGGUCCCGCACUCCCGGGGCGUCUCGUUCUCAUUGCGAGAARRGGCGCACCCAGAGCG
rnacentral:rRNA from 1 species